rnacentral:rRNA from 1 species
GGUGUUGGGUUCAGUCCCGCAACGAGCGCAACCCUCGCCCUUUGUUGCCAUCGGGUAAAGCCGGGCACUCUAAGGGGACUGCCAGCGACAAGUUGGAGGAAGGAGAGGAUGACGUCAAGUCAUCAUGGCCUUUAUGCCUAGGGCCACACACGUGCAACAAUGGCCGGUACAGACGGAGGCAAUGCCGAGAGGCGGAGCAAACCCGAGAAAACCGGUCCCAGUUCGGAUUGAGGUCUGCAACUCGACCUCAUGAAGUCGGAAUCGCUAGUAAUCGCAUAUCAGAACGAUGCGGUGAAUACGUUCCCGGGCCUUGUACACACCGCCCGUCACACCACGAAAGUUUGUUGUACCCGAAGUCGGUGCCUUAACCUCGCAAGAGGAGAGAGCCGCCCAAGGUAUGGCCGAUGAUUGGGGUGAAGUCGUAACAAGGUAGCCGUAGGGGAACCUGCGGC